GGGGUUACAGCCUUGCUGAAUUAUUCACCCUUGUCUUUUGCGUACUUCUUGUUUCCUUGGUGGGUUCGCCCACCACUAGGACAAACAUAAACCUUUUGUAAUUGCAAUCAGCGUCAGUAACAAAUUAAUAAUUACAACUUUCAACAACGGAUCUCUUGGUUCUGGCAUCGAUGAAGAACGCAGCGAAAUGCGAUAAGUAGUGUGAAUUGCAGAAUUCAGUGAAUCAUCGAAUCUUUGAACGCACAUUGCGCCCUUUGGUAUUCCAAAGGGCAUGCCUGUUCGAGCGUCAUUUGUACCCUCAAGCUUUGCUUGGUGUUGGGCGUCUUGUCUCUAGCUUUGCUGGAGACUCGCCUUAAAGUAAUUGGCAGCCGGCCUACUGGUUUCGGAGCGCAGCACAAGUCGCACUCUCUAUCAGCAAAGGUCUAGCAUCCAUUAAGCCUUUUUUUCAACUUUUGACCUCGGAUCAGGUAGGGAUACCCGCUGAACUUAAGCAUAU
rnacentral:rRNA from 1 species